CGAAGAGGGAGGAAGGAGCUAAGCUUGCCGCUGUGAGCGGUGAGCUUCUGAAGGGGAUCAUCUUGAAUUCAGAGUCAUCUUCAAUUUGGAUAAAUAAGUCACCUCUUUUCCAAGGUAAAGAGACCCAGAUGUGCUUCUUCUCCACACCUGUUGCACUAUGCACAGAAGACUCCAUGCAGGGACCCCAAAGGCUUCUUGCAGACCCACCAUCCUCCCCGCCCCCCCAGUCCUUCCAGCAACAGCAGGCUGCAGAUCCUGUCACCCAGCUUACCCAUGGAAAGGAUGAUGGGGAAAAGUCAUGGUAUGAUUAUUUUUGUUACAGUUGUUAAAACAAACGCUUAAAUAUAUCCCCUAGAAGACAAGGUUUCCUUCACAU